rfam:Dipodomys ordii contig_27259, whole genome shotgun sequence.
GGGAAUGUGGCUUAGUGGUAGAGUGCUUGCCUAGCAUGCAUGAAGCCCCUGGGUUCAAUUCCUCAGUACCA